rnacentral:tRNA from 1 species
GUUGAGGUGGCAGAGUUCGGUAAUUGCAUAAAACUUAAGCUUUUACACCCAGAGGUUCAAAUCCUCUCCCCAACA